AGCAGCCGCGGUAAUUCCAGCUCCAAUAGCGUAUAUUAAAGUUGUUGCAGUUAAAAAGCUCGUAGUUGAACUUCGGGAUUCACCCAUUGGUCAGGCUUAAUUGUCUGUACUGGUGAGAUGAGUCUCUACCUUCUGAGGAACUUUCAUGCCAUUUAUUUGGUGUGGUUGGAAAUCAGGACUGUUACUUUGAAAAAUUAGAGUGUUUAAAGCAGGCUAACGUCUGAAUACAUUAGCAUGGAAUAAUGAAAUAGGACGGAUUGAUUCUAUUUCGUUGGUUUCUAGGGUCACCGUAAUGAUUAAUAGGGAUAGUUGGGGGCAUUAGUAUUCAAUUGUCAGAGGUGAAAUUCUUGGAUUUAUUGAAGACUAACUACUGCGAAAGCAUUUGCCAAGGAUGUUUUCAUUAAUCAAGAACGAAAGUUAGGGGAUCGAAGACGAUCAGAUACCGUCGUA
rnacentral:rRNA from 1 species